UUAAACCAGUACGACUUCCCCAGCUCAGAUGAAGAGCCUCUGUCACAGGUUUUGUCUGGCUCUUCAGAAGCUGAGGAAGAGAAUGACCCUGAUGGCCCUUUCGCUUUCCGUAGGAAAGCAGGCUGUCAGUACUAUGCUCCUCAUUUAGACCAAACUGGCAACUGGCCCUGGACUAGCCCUAAAGAUGGAGGCCUGGGGGAUGUGCGAUAUAGAUAUUGCUUAACUACUCUCACCGUACCCCAGAGGUGUCUUGGAUUUGCACGAAGACGGGUCGGGCGCGGUGGAAGGGUCUUGCUGGACAGAGCGCAUUCAGACUAUGACAGUAUGUUUCACCACCUGGAUCUGGACAUGCUUUCCUCACCACAACCUUCUCCAGUCAAUCAGUUUGCC
rnacentral:lncRNA from 1 species